rnacentral:rRNA from 1 species
UUAUCCGGAUUUAUUGGGUUUAAAGGGUGCGUAGGCGGCCUUUUAAGUCAGCGGUGAAAGUCUGUGGCUCAACCAUAGAAUUGCCGUUGAAACUGGGGGGCUUGAGUAUGUUUGAGGCAGGCGGAAUGCGUGGUGUAGCGGUGAAAUGCUUAGAUAUCACGCAGAACCCCGAUUGCGAAGGCAGCCUGCCAAGCCAUGACUGACGCUGAUGCACGAAAGCGUGGGGAUCAAACAGGAUUAGAUACCCUGGUAGUCCACGCAGUAAACGAUGAUCACUAGCUGUUUGCGAUACACUGUAAGCGGCACAGCGAAAGCGUUAAGUGAUCCACCUGGGGAGUACGCCGGCAACGGUGAAACUCAAAGGAAUUGACGGGGACCCGCACAAGCGGUGGAGCAUGUGGUUUAAUUC